CAGAACGUAAUAGAAGUAUAUCGGACUGCUUUGUCCAGGGUAAAACUAACCAGUCCCACAGCUAGAAAAUGUAUUCCUGUCCAGGCUUUCAAAGAUAGGUCUCUAUCAGUGACAGUCUAGCGCAGUAGAAAGGUCUUGGGGUCAGAAGACCUUGACUCUAGUUCUGGCGUGGUAAUUUAGCAGCUGUGGAUUUUCUGGCAACUACUCAAGGCUCUUAUUUUCUUCAUCUACAAAGUAGGAAAAAUGAUAGCUACACAUACCUCCAGGGGUUGUUCUGAGAAUCCACUGAGAUAAGGUUCUCUCCAGAUGUGAAGAAAAUUGCUUACUUGGUUGAGACGCUUGUACUUACUUGAUGAAGUACUUGAUUCCAUCUGCUGUGUAAGCUUCCUCCCACCCAUAAGAAUUCUGCUCAUCAAUCCAGCACCAGCUUAAAUGAGAGUUCCUCUGUGCAUCCUCCCCCAGAACCUUUGGCAGAGCUCAUCUUCCCAUCCCCUGUGGUACUUCUGUGAACAAAUCCAGGCCAUAUUUUAAUUUAAUGUGAGGGCACAGUACAAUGAAACUUUAAGGCCAUUAUAGCUAUCUGGAUAAAGGAAGGCUCAAGACCUUCACAUUACUCCCAUCACGACACAUCAUCCUAUCAUUGAAUAAUAGAAGACAAACACUGACCUAGUUUAGAAGUGCAGAUGAAAAGAAAAUGAAAACAGGAUACAUGACAACGGCAAGGAAACCAUGGGCCCCUGACUGGGACAGCCUCCAUCAUCAGGAGUUUGACUGGCUGCUAAAACAGAGAGGAAAGAAAUAUGAUGAACUUCACACUGGCUCUUAAGCAGGUGGGAAAGUACAAUUCUACUACUGGCAGAGAAAGAAGAGAACCUGAUAUAGCUGAAAAGCUCCAAGUAUUAGUGUAUUAUACAUGUCUCUUUCUGUAGUGGUGCUAGGAUUUCACUAGGGUAUAUACCUAGAAGUAGACUUGCUGAGUUAAGAUGUGAGAAUGUUCAGUUUUGCCAAAUUGCUCUCCAAAGUACAGUCCUAUGAGUAUCAGAUGAGAGUUCCCAGGUCUUUCUUUUUAUCCCUGAGAACACUGCUAUUAUAAGACUUUUAAAUAUCUGUCCACUUAAUGAGUAGGCAACUGUAUCUCGUUGUUGCUUUAUUUUAAUUUCCUGGAAGGACAUCUUUUCACAUAUUUAACUGCCAUUUGGGUUUUGACUUUUGUAAAUGGCCCAUUCAUUUGCACUGACCAUCUUUCUUUGGGGUUCCCUGUAUUUUCCUUGAGUUAGUGGGAACAUUUCUCUCUAGCCCUUCUUUUGAUGAGGGAAGCCAGCCCUUUCAGGAUCUUGUAUUUCUCUAUAGAGGAUAUCAGUUCCAGAAUCCCAUCUGAAAAGGGCCUAAGUCCAUGUUAAAUCUGAGCCUCAAUAUCUGAGUCUGAUUCCUUCCUUGGGCCACAUGAUGUCAGCACUAACUUCUAGUGUUCACACUUACAUUUCUGUUGUGUAAGAUUUCCUUCACUCCUCUCUCCUCUCCCUUUUUUCUUUCCUUUCUUCCUCCCAAGCUUGACUAUGUAUUUAGAAAACUGCCUUGUUUUAUUUUAUUCAUUAUUUCUCUAUAUAAAUUGAGCAUCCAUAAUCUGAAAAUCUGAAGUGCCCCCAAAUCCAUAACUCUUUGAGCACUGACAUGAUGCCACAGAUUUUCCACAUGGGUGGCUAAGAUACUGACACCUUUGUUUCUGAUGACACAAUGUACUACAAACUUUGUUUCAUGCAUAGAAGUCUGCCAGGUAAAGUGGUUAGCUAGAUAAUUUUCUCCUUAUCCAGAGAGAUGGUAUUAAAUCUUGAAUGUUCACAAAUUUAUAUUAAAUCAACAUCAUUAAAGCUCAGUAAUUGUUUUAUAUAUAUAAUAGAUAUGUUUUUAAACCUCAAAUACUUUAUUUUUAAAAGUGUUAAUAUUAACUAAUUAUAGACCAUGCCAUUAGCCAGAACUUACAUGUUGCCAUAAAUAAAAAGAGCACAGGUUAGCAAAAGAUACUCAGGAUUGAGAAAAUAUAAAGGAGACAUUUCAAGUAUCUAAUUAUAUGGAAAGUUUUAUUGAGCACAAGUCAGGUGUUUAAACAAUGGUAGGUACUACAGGGUCUAUGGUGAAGACACUUAUAAUUUCAUUGAUAAAACAAGAUACAAAGAUUAUGAGGUGCCACCAAGUGAUGGUAAGUGCUACUAAUGUCCAAAAGAAGGCAAUAUUGGCCUGAACCACAGUAGUUAGCAAAGUCUGGCUAAAGGAGACGGAACUAAAUGACAGAACUCAGAACAUGCUGCCUCAAAAUAUGGCACCUUGGUAUUUGAAGAGAUAGCAGAAGCAAGGUCUCUCCUGAAGUGGGCCAUAAAACUUUGCUUUCUUUCCCCUAAAUGUAGGUGUUAGACCCUAAUUCCAGAGGGGUCCUCCCUACACCCAGAGGAAAGGAAAUGUCUUCAUCUCUGAAGACACAGAGAUGCCAAGAAGAAUCUGAACAAACAGACCUUGCUAUGUUCCCUUCAGUUUAUUACCAUUAGAUCAUACCCUUUAUCUUCCAGUCAUUUCUAUACAACUAUCCAUAAAAACACAGUUUUCCCUGUUUCUUUUGGUCUUCAUUCCUGAAGGGCUCCCAUGUCAUGUAAAACUUAUAUUAAAUAAAUUUGCAUGUUUUUCUCUUGUUAAUCUGUCUCUUGUUAUAGGUGUUUCAGCCAUGAACCUAGUAAUGGGUAAGAAAAAACUUUUCUUUCCUACAUAAGUCAGAAUUUGAACAAUGGGUGAGAUCCAAAUUGGCAAUGAGAAUGGUUGUAUUAUAGGGCCAACCAAAGGUAUGGAUACAGGAAUAAACAGGUCCAUUUUACAUUGAAAAAAUAUUGCACAUUUUUCCUGUCAGAUCCCUAGUAACUUGAUAGGAAAAGUUUUCAAGCGCUUUCCUGCCUUUAAUUUUUCUUUUUUAAUCAUCUUAAGUUUCUUUAAGAAAUAGAAAGUUUCAAUGUUUCACUCUCCCCAAGACUAUUUUUUGGUGCCUUAGCA